UACGUAGGGUGCAAGCGUUAAUCGGAAUUACUGGGCGUAAAGCGUGCGCAGGCGGUUGUGCAAGACAGAUGUGAAAUCCCCGGGCUCAACCUGGGAAUUGCAUUUGUGACUGCACGGCUAGAGUGUGUCAGAGGGGGGUAGAGUUCCACGUGUAGCAGUGAAAUGCGUAGAGAUGUGGAGGAAUACCGAUGGCGAAGGCAGCCCCCUGGGAUAACACUGACGCUCAUGCACGAAAGCGUGGGGAGCAAACAGG
rnacentral:rRNA from 1 species